ACUAUACUAUUAUACAGAAAACAGAAUAAUAUUUCCCUAAGAAAAUUAUUUGUCGAGACUUUUGUCCAUCAUGUUCAAAAUAAUGAGUUGGAAUCUGCACCGAACUCAGAAUUCGUCGAUGGCGACUUGACUCAAUCACAUAAAUGUGAACGGACACACACACUUACACAUAACCAUACAAGAUACCUUUAGACACUUUAAUAUAUAGUUAAAUAUUUACAACUUAAAUUUGAUGAAUGGUAAAAUAAGAAACACACGCAACAACAGUUUCGUUGCCAAUCACACAUGCGUAAAUACAUGUGAAAUGAUUCAUCAACGGUGUGAUUAUAAGUAGUCAUCUUUGCUUAUUAAAGUUGUCGUGUUCGCCACAUUAAGUAUGUUUGCACUUCAUUAUCAACUUUAUACUGUGACGCCAGAGAAGUAAUAAACGUGUGUGAAAUAAAGACGAGUCCAGCUAUGCAUGUCCAUACAUAACGUAAGCAACAUAACAACAAGGGAAGCAGCUGCGGAACAAAAGUCAACAAUAAUAACAACAAAGAUAGACAACACGUGCUGUCACGCACAAAAUGACAGCUUCCAAAUUCUGUUAUCUGACUGGGUGAAAAAUAUCAAACUUUAAGCCUCUAACUUUUUAAAAAAUUCUUCUGGAAAAAGUGAAAUAUCCCCAGAAAUUCAGCUUGGAAA